rnacentral:rRNA from 1 species
CCUACGGGUGGCUGCAGUGAGGAAUAUUGGUCAAUGGACGAGAGUCUGAACCAGCCAAGUAGCGUGAAGGAUGAAUGCCCUAUGGGUUGUAAACUUCUUUUAUAUGGGAAUAAAAUGUUCCACGUGUGGGAUUUUGUAUGUACCAUAUGAAUAAGGAUCGGCUAACUCCGUGCCAGCAGCCGCGGUAAUACGGAGGAUCCGAGCGUUAUCCGGAUUUAUUGGGUUUAAAGGGAGCGUAGGGGGAUUGUUAAGUCAGUUGUGAAAGUUUGCGGCUCCACCGUAAAAUUGCAGUUGAAACUGGCAGUCUUGAGUACAGUAGAGGUGGGCGGAAUUCGUGGUGUAGCGGUGAAAUGCUUAGAUAUCACGAAGAACUCCGAUUGCGAAGGCAGUUCACUGGACUGCAACUGACACUGAGGCUCGAAAGUGUGGGUAUCAAACAGGAUUAGAUACCCUUGUAGUC